rnacentral:rRNA from 1 species
GCGGUGGAGCAUGUGGUUUAAUUCGAAGCAACGCGAAGAACCUUACCAGGUCUUGACAUCCCGAUGCUAUUUCUAGGGAUAGAAAGUUACUUCGGUACAUCGGUGACAGGUGGUGCAUGGUUGUCGUCAGCUCGUGUCGUGAGAUGUUGGGUUAAGUCCCGCAACGAGCGCAACCCCUAUUGUUAGUUGCCAUCAUUCAGUUGGGCACUCUAGCGAGACUGCCGGUAAUAAACCGGAGGAAGGUGGGGAUGACGUCAAAUCAUCAUGCCCCUUAUGACCUGGGCUACACACGUGCUACAAUGGUUGGUACAACGAGUUGCGAGUCGGUGACGGCGAGCUAAUCUCUUAAAGCCAAUCUCAGUUCGGAUUGUAGGCUGCAACUCGCCUACAUGAAGUCGGAAUCGCUAGUAAUCGCGGAUCAGCACGCCGCGGUGAAUACGUUCCCGGGCCUU